AACCUGAGGCCGGCGGGGGAGGGGCCGGCGAGGAUGAGAGACCCCAGCAGGAAAUGCAGCUGAGCACAGAGGGAUGGAACAAGCCCUGUCUACUGCUUUAUUAAGCCCCAGCAGAAUAUACACUGAAGCCAGGUUCUCAGUCACUUCAACGUUUCAUUUGGGCUUCAAACUCUGAUGAAGCGAGCCCCACGAAUCCCCUGUGGACAGGCAUGACACAACGCUGGCAGGCAUAUGCCAGGCAGGGAGAGGGUAGGAUGGCUGGUGGACCCUCAGAAAGACCCGACCUGAGCUUUCCCUGUAGGGACUGAGCAGAGUGGAGAAUUGAGCCCCCUAAAGUGAGCAGCACAGAGCCAUGGGGGGCAGGGGCAUCCCUGGCUGCAUAGUGGGAAGGCAAUGGCCUGGCCGCCAGGGACAGGCACAGGGAUGCCCAGCCAGGCCCGCUGUCUUCCCGUGUGAGGAGUGAGGCGCCAGGGUAUGCGGUGGGCAGGAAGCUACAUCCUGAAUGUCAAGGGGCAGCCCAGGCUGCUCCUCCUUCCCUCCCCUGC
rnacentral:lncRNA from 1 species